ensembl:lncRNA
CCUAAGGGGGAAAGGAUUCUACUCCAGGUAUUUCCUGAUUCCCAAAGCAAAAGGGGGCCUCCGUCCCAUUUUGGACCUACGCGGACUAAACAAAUUUCUGAUCAAAACACGUUUCUGUAUGGUCUCCCUUGGAGCUAUUAUCCCAUCCCUGGAUCCGGGGGAUUGGUACGCUGCCCUCGAUAUGAAAGAUGCGUAUUUUCACAUCGCCAUCCGCCCGGCCCACCGGCGGUUCCUGCGCUUCACCAUCAACCAGUGCCAUUUUCAAUUUACGGUCCUGCCCUUCGGCCUGGCAACAGCCCCACGAGUGUUCACAAAAUGCAUGUCCAUGGUGGCAGCUUUUCUUCGGAAGAGAAGGAUGCGCGUGUACCCGUACUUGGACGACUGGCAGGUCGGAGGCCGAGGUCCACUCCCACGUGACGCUGGCUCUACAGGUGUUCUGCAAGCUCGGCCUACUGGUCAAUGUGCCCAAAUCCUCACUGAUCCCCACGCAGAGACUGGACUUCAUAGGAGCAGUCCUGGACUCGGUGGUGGCGCGGGCAAGUCUUCCAGUGUCACGGUUCUUGGCCAUUCAAAGGAUCGUAGGCUCCGUCCAACAAUUUCCCACGACUACAGCCAGGUGCUGCAUGCAACUCUUGGGGCACAUGGUGGCCUGCACACAUGUAGUCAGACAUGCCCGCCUAAGACUCAGGCCAUUACAGUUGUGGCUGGCCCAAACGUAUCGCCCCAACAGAGACCCUUUAGACCUGGUGGUGACAAUCCCGGCUCGGGUGUUGAACUCCCUCCGCUGGUGGCUCGAUCAGCAGCAGGUUUGCGAGGGGGUCCCCUUCGCUGCCCCGCAACCCACUCUGACGUUAGUAACAGAUGCGUCGGACCUGGGUUGGGGGGCGCACCUGGGGGACCUGCGGACCCAGGACUUAUGGCCCAGGGAAGAAAAGUUGCUUCACAUCAAUCUGAAGGAGCUAAGGGUGGUUCGCCUCGCCUGUCAGACCUUUCACGCCACCAUAGAAGGCCACAGCGUGUCAGUUCUGAUGGACAACACUACCGCCAUGUUCUACAUAAACAAGCAGGGCGGGUCCCGAUCCUCUCCCCUCUGUCAUGAGGCGCUCCGCCUAUGGGACUUCUGUAUAGCCCAUUCAGUCCACCUAAUCACAACAUAUCUCCCAGGGGUCCAAAACAGGUUAGCAGACUGCCUCAGCCAGUCCUACCACAUGCACGAAUGGGCGUUGAGACGGGACGUCCUGCAUUCAAUCUUCCAGAGGUGGGGGUUUCCCCUGGUGGAUCUCUUCGCCACCAAGGACAACAGCCAAUCCCCUCAGUUUUGUUCUUACCAGAACCUCAGCCCAGGCUCGUUGGCAGAUGCCUUCGCCAUUCCAUGGGGCGGGAGCCUGGUAUGCCUUCCCUCCAUUCCCGCUCAUCCACAAGGUCCUCCUCAAGACCCCCAAGGCGGCAGUCGCCCCGGCAUGGCCAGGCCAGCAUUGGUUCACGACCCUGCUGGAACUGUCCAUAACCGCCCCGAUUGCCCUCGCCCUCAUCACACAGGACCGGGGUCGCCUACUCCACCCGAACCUACCGUCACUACAUCUCACGGCGUGGUAUCUCUCUGGCUAAAUGAUACGGAGCGCAGGUGCUCUCACCAGGUCCAGCGAAUUCUCCUUGGUAAUAGGAAGCUCUCCACAAGAGCGAUCUACCUUGCCAAAUGGAGGAGGUUCUCCCACUGGUGUGAGCCUCAUCACAUACAGCCUCUGC